rnacentral:lncRNA from 1 species
CUUGGGGGGUGAUGCUGGCCAACUUCGUCUGCCGGACUCGGAAUACCGCGAGACUUUUCGAGGGGCCUCCGUGUGCCAAAAAUAGGCCGUGGGCAAAGCCGCGUCCAAAAUUAACCGCCCGAAGGCCGGGGCGCCAAGUUCGUCCAGCGGAAAAAGGCCACAAAAACGGGUGGGCUAUAGCCUUGGGGUGUGAUGCUGGCCAACUUCGUCCGCCGGACUCGGAAUGCCUCGAGACUUUGCGAGGGGCCUCCGUGUGCCAAAAAUAGGCCACGGGCAAAGCCACGCCCAAAAAUAACCGCCCGAAGGCCGGGGCGCCAAGUUCGUCCAGCGGAAAAAGGCCACAAAAACGGGUGGGCUAUAGCCUUGAGGGGUGAUGCUGGCCAACUUCGUCCGCCGGACUCGGAAUGCCGUGAGACUUUGCGAGGGGCCUCCGUGUGCCAAAAAUAGUCCGCGGGCAAAGCCGCGCCCAAAAUUAACCGCCCGAAGGCCUGGGCGCCAAGUUCGUCCAGCGGAAAAAGGCCACAAAAACGGGUGGGCUAUAGCAUUGGGGGGUGGGGCUGGCCAACUUCGUCCGCCGGACUCGGAAUACCGCGAGACUUUGCGAGGGGCCUCCGUGUGCCAAUAAUAGGCCGCGGGCAAAGCCGCGCCCAAAAUUAACCGCCC